GCCGGAGUGGUGGAAUUGGUAGACACGCAGCCUUGAGGGGGCUGUAGCGCAAGCUGUGAGAGUUCGAGUCUCUCCUUCGGCACCA
rnacentral:tRNA from 1 species